UACGAGGGGGGCAAGCGUUGCUCGGAAUCACUGGGCGUAAAGGGUGCGUAGGCGGGUCUUUAAGUCAGGGGUGAAAUCCUGGAGCUCAACUCCAGAACUGCCUUUGAUACUGAAGAUCUUGAGUUCGGGAGAGGUGAGUGGAACUGCGAGUGUAGAGGUGAAAUUCGUAGAUAUUCGCAAGAACACCAGUGGCGAAGGCGGCUCACUGGCCCGAUACUGACGCUGAUGCACGAAAGCGUGGGGAGCAAACAGG
rnacentral:rRNA from 1 species